AGUGAACGCUGGCGGUAGGCCUAACACAUGCAAGUCGAACGGCAGCACAGUAAGAGCUUGCUCUUACGGGUGGCGAGUGGCGGACGGGUGAGGAAUACAUCGGAAUCUACUUUUUCGUGGGGGAUAACGUAGGGAAACUUACGCUAAUACCGCAUACGACCUACGGGUGAAAGCAGGGGAUCUUCGGACCUUGCGCGAUUGAAUGAGCCGAUGUCGGAUUAGCUAGUUGGCGGGGUAAAGGCCCACCAAGGCGACGAUCCGUAGCUGGUCUGAGAGGAUGAUCAGCCACAAUGGAACUGAGAAAAGGUCCAGAAUCCUAAGGGAGGCAGCAGUGGGGAAUAUUGGACAAUGGGCGCAAGCCUGAUCCAGCCAUACCGCGUGGGUGAAGAAGGCCUUCGGGUUGUAAAGCCCUUUUGUUGGGAAAGAAAAGCAGCAGGUUAAUACCCCGCUGUUCUGACGGUACCCAAAGAAUAAGCACCGGCUAACUUCGUG
rnacentral:rRNA from 1 species